rnacentral:snRNA from 1 species
GGACAUGACAGUACAUAUACUAAAAUUGGAAUGAUACAGAGAAGGUUAGCAUAGCACCUGGGCAAGGAUGACAUGAAAAUUUGUUCCAUACUUUU